GAAAGGCUGGUCCUCCUCAGUCCACACAGACCCUGUAGUGACUUUUCCCUGAGGUGUAGCAGGGCCUUUGAUGCAGACUGGGGCUGUAACCUCAGCUGAGCAGCCCCUUAGCCCCAUCCCACCACAUGGCAGAAACCAUUUGCCUCUUUCAUUACCCAUCAUUUUUUUCAUAUACAACAGUGUCUUAUAAUCGUUAAAACCAACACCAUCAGUCUGUACUGUCUCUUCACCCAGUCUUCUGUGAGGUUCUCCAUCCUUAUUUCUGUUGCAGUCAAAGAUGUUAACAAACACUUCAUUAGUGGGGAAGGUUAAACAGUUACCUACCUUGGACCUCAAAAGAAAACGCCACAUUCAGACAUUCUUUCUAAAUAGAAAAGAUCCCAGAUUGGUCAAAAUCUUGAUUUUCCUACAGUAUGACUACAUUUUUUUUUCUGGUGAGAUGUGUUAAAAAGUGAAGAAGCAUUAAAAUCAAAGCACAAGAGCAAAAGCUCCCUCACACCAGCGUUGCUGGGCAAUGUAUAGCCUACGUGGGGUCCCUGCAAGCUGCCGAAGGAUAUUUUAGCUCCCAUCAGCCCCUGGACGUGGGCCCUUUGAGUGCUACUAAUGCUGUGUGAACACGUGCACCUUCAGGACUGCACACCUUGACCAAUUUCUCACAGGCCUGCGAGAGCAUAUGCUUCAACAGCAGCUUCCAGCCAGCUGAGCUUAGGAUGGAUUUCAAACCGUAACCUCAGGGUGAAAAGACAUACAUUCCAGUAAACAUUCCAGGUCUCAAAGAGCUGAGUUCACUGGGAAAAAAUCUUGGAUCAAGACAGCAUUAAAGGGAUCACUUUUAAAAAGAAGGAAAAUACAGGCUUAGCAUCAGGAAAUAUUUGCUAGCAGAGAGCUUUGUUGAAAUGUGCAUCUUUCUCUCACAGGAAAAGACGGGUCUUCCACCUCCCUGUUCUGUUUAAACUAGGCCUGACAAAGCCCUGAAGAAUAAUUCACUUGAAUGGGCCAGAAGGAUGUAUUAGAUGGGAUAAGAAGCCUUUUUUUCCCAUUUCUAAAUAUCAGCUAUUGCUGUCUAACCUUUUUCUGUAGACUAUCCAGCUCCACUCAGCUGGAUAUAUGCAGGAAUGUAUUUCAGCUAAAUGAACAUGGAAGAGUAGAAGAGAACAGAGCUCACUCUGAACUUCAGGAUGGGCCCCAGUCCAGAAGAAAUAGGCUUCCCAAGGCUGGAUAAUUAGUUUCUAAUUUAAUUAUCAGCUUAAUAUUAAACACUGAAAUACAGCAGCUAUCUGUGUACACUGCAGUGGUCUAUUUUCAGGUACUAUCUGCUUUUAAAUUGCAGCUCUAAUGCUAUUAGCAGAUGGAUGUGUGUUAUUGCAGUAUAGGGAACUGGAAAUUCUCCAUAUACCGUGCUAUAAAUAUUUCUUUGACAUUUAUUAUCCUCACUUGAGUUCAGGUGUUAAAAUACUUGGACUGAAGUCAUGUUUGUAGCAGAAAAAGUCAAUUUUGAAUCCUACCUUGUUGCUGGCUAUAUUAUUAAGAACAGACAAAGACAACAGGGAAAGGGAGUCCCUCACUUAGUAGAGGUCAUGCAACCUUUGAAUCAAAUUAGCUGGAGUUUCAGCUCAUUUAAUGAUACCAGUUCUGAAACACUCCUGCUCAGACAAUAUGAUAGAUCACUUCACCAGGGUUUUUCUUACUCUCUGUCUCAUUUUUUUCUUUUCCUUACCGUGUGUGCAGUAGGAUUGCAUUUGCGGUCAUGAAUCAGAAUCCCAGUUUUGCCAGCUGCAUUGGAUUGUAAACUCCAAGUCAUAUGAAUCUCAAUUUUGAUUGCCCUAAGGGAAGUGUUGGAUUAUGUAAACCAGUAGAUAAUAGCCCUUAUAAAAUCCCUCCAAUAAAAUAAAAUCAAGGUGUGUGUGUCAUGGUGGAUUAACAGGCUUGCCUUUCUUUUUAUCUGUUUUCCUUCAGGCUCCUGGUUGUGGUUGACUGGAAAUCUGUGCCACAAGGGGAAGGGGGAAUACUGUCAUUUGCGAAUCAUACAGAAAUGUGUAAUAAUCUUUAAGACAGCAAGUUAGUUCCCUGUGGUGAAGAUUAAAUUGAAGAGUAAUGGACAAUUGUUUAUAUUGAUGUAUAAAUCAAUGUAAAAAUGUAUUCUGAUACAAGAAAACACUUUAGAAAGAUAGUUAAAAAAUUGCCAGAAGAAUAAAGGACAGUACUCCACUGCUUGUGUGGCAAAGUGCAGUUGUUUGAAUCCACAUGCAAAUGUAGAGUAGCCAAAUCAAGUUGCCUGACUAGGCAUUUGUCCAGUACAAAAUAAGGAUCAUCUCUGCCCCUCAGAGACUAACUUCUAAUAGCUAAACCCCAAAUUUACAUCUAGCAAUCAAAAGCAGCACACCUUAAAUAGCACAAGUUCCCUCAGCCAUUUGCUGUCAGUUCAGAAAGGCAAGUCUCACCUGUCCAGAGAUUUCCAACAUAUCCUCAGGCUCAGCUGUGCAUAGGUCUGUCUGGAACAAUUCUUAUGGAAGAACAGGGAGACAUCUCUGCAGAAAAUAUGUCUUU
ensembl:lncRNA